AGAAAACUGUACCGUAUUGCGUAAAUUACCAUACCGUAUUGCAUAACGCAAUUGCCGUUACCUAUAUAUCGGUAUCCAUACUUCAUCGAAACACAAACGAAGUGCGGUGUCAUCGCGUUUUUGCUCGAGUCGAAAGCCUUUUUAAUUUCAUUUUCGACAUCAUCUAGAUUUGAGUUUUGAAGUAAAAAUGGUUGAUAGUAUCUAUCGUACUCGUUCUUUGGGAGUCGCGUCAGAGGGUAUUCCCGACCAGUAUGCAGAUGGAAAAGCAGCGAAAGUUUGGGAAUUCUACAUCGGCGGCCGCAAUGAAAGGAUAGACGUUUAUCGGAGCUGGAUCACCCAGCUGCUCCGGGAGAAGAAUUGCAAGCGUGUGCUUGACGUCGCUUGUGGUACUGGUAUUGAUUCUGUGAUGUUACUGGAGGAGGGAUUUGAGGUGGUUAGCGUUGAUGCCUCUGACAAAAUGAUAAUGCAGGCUUUCAGGGAACGAUGGAGUCGUCGCAAAGAGGAUGCUUUUGAUAAAUGGGAAAUUGAGGUAGCCAAUUGGUUGACCCUUCCAGAUGAUCUGCCAUCGCAAGAAGGCAAGUUUGAUGCUGUUAUCUGUCUGGGAAACUCCUUUGCCAACCUGCCAGACUUUGAGGGAAAUCUGUCCAACCAGCGCUUGGCCCUCAAGAAUUUUGCAGAUUUCCUUCGUCCCGGUGGGAUGAUGAUUAUUGACCACAGGAAUUAUGAUGCCAUCUUGGAUACUGGCCGUGCCCCUGUCCACAAUAUCUAUUAUCAUGGUAAUUGUAUCAAGGACAUCCAGACUUCUACCCUCUACGUCAAUGGUAGACCUUCCAUGGUUACCCUGGAUUACUUCAUCGACAUCAACGUUGCUAAAGAGGAUAUCAAGAAGAAAGGACAACUUUCAAAGAAGAAACUGGAGUUUGAGCCUGUCCAACCCAUUAUGAAGUUCCGUCUGUCUUAUUACCCACACCGGCUGAAUGCAUUCACGGAGCUCCUCAAGGAAGCCUUUGGUGCCGAGUGCAAACAUGAACUUCUUGCCGACUUUAAGAAACCCAGUGAAGUUGCCCACCCGGCAUACUACAUACACUGCAUUGAAAAACCAUUCUAGUCCAUGGUCUUACUCUACAGUAGGAGCUCUGCACUUCAUAUCAGAAUAAGCUCUGAGACAUGGAUGAGGGUUAGGUUGAGUAUUGAGCUUGGAGUCCAUGGUGGAAGUACAAAGGUGUUUUAUGCAGUUUCUUGAGAGAAUUGUGAUUAUUUUCUUGGUAAACUUGCAAUUGAUUUAGCUGAUCACUUAAAAAGAUCAAAUCAUGAAUGUGCACUUUGGGAAGGUGUGGCUAAUAAAUGUUUUUUGCUAUGGUUAAAUAGGAUCUAUCUAACAAAUGAAAAUUUCCACUCUUUUCUUCACUUAUCUUAGUGAUCUCGAUUAUGAGGAUAUAUGCAUGGAAAUAUUCUUUAAAAUUUGAUCACAGUGUCUGAUCAUAAGCAAUCAACUAGGACUGCCUAAAUGUACUUUAUCUUGGAUCCUACCUCAGACUGGCUUAAACUAGGCUAACCGAUAUUUGAGUCUUCCCUUUUAAAAGUGCUUGAAUGUUAUAGAAUGAGUAGGAUAUACUGGGGAGUUUGCAAAUGAAGUACUGAGAAUAUACUUCUUAAUUGUAUUAAUCGAUAAAAAAUGUGUUGCAUGUGGAUUUUAAUAGUCAUCUUCAUUCAGAAUGAAGUAUUCAGUUGUUUAAUGCUGUAUUCACUUAAGUAGAGAUUGUUUGUAUGCAAAUUUGCUAAUUUGCAUGUAUAAACAGUGAUUAAGAAGUUUAAAUUACAUCGCCAAUUUAGUGAAUAUAGUGAUAUAUUCAUUUUUUGUUCCAUUUACUGAAAGAUACUGAUGCAUUGAAAAUGGUUGCAGUAUGUCAAUAUAUAUAUAUAUUUUUCUUUUGAUGUAGUUUGCAUCAUUUUUAGAGUUGUGCAUCAAAAGUUAUUGGACCAAAUCACAAAAUAUGGUCAAUUGUCCCUGGUGGUUAAAAGCUGGCAUGGUGUAUGCAGGUGCACACGGUGCACUUGCAUUUUAACCUAUACAUAAUUAAAGUGACAUUAGUAGAUCCUUCGGUUAUUUUCAAUUGGUCUAAUGCCAAUUCGUCUAAUUACCAUCUCGUCUACUAUCAUUUGGUCUACCAUCAGUUCGUCCUCUAUCCACAGGGUCUAAUUGCUAUUUCUUCUAAUAACCAGUUGGUCCAUAUACCAUUUGGUCUAAUUGGACUAAGUGUUAAUUGGCAAAAUGAAUGAAAAGAAAAUGGGUAUUAGACCAACUGGUUAUGAAACAAAGUGGUCAUAGACAAAGUAAUUAUUGGUCCAAAUGGUUGUUAGAUGAAAUGUUGAUGGACGGAAUGGCAUUAGACUAAAUAAGGUAGACUAUGUGAGGAUUGGACAAGUUGGCAAUAGACGAAUUGGAAAUUUACUGAUCCUUCAUAUAGAUGAUGUGGAAUAUGUAAAAAAAUGUGUCCCUCUCCUUACAGCAUACAUGUAUAAUCAUACUUAAUAAGAAUACUUUUGAUCUGUCAGCAUAACUCUGCAGUAUUAAGCUGGUUUGACGGUACAACCUGUAAAUGGGCAGAUACCUGUAUAUAUGCAAAUGUUUGUACCAAAAUAGUAAAUCCUACAGAGAUAAAAACCUGAUCUGUGGUCACAAACAUUAUGCAAUUAUUUAUCCAAUCCGUGUACAUAUUUGCACCACAGGGACAGCCUUUGCAGGUUGAAUUUUCGAUAUGAUGUACUAUUCCUAAAUACUUGUGAGAUUGUGCUUGUAGGCAACCUGUUAAAAUGCAUGGAGUUGAACAUUCCCAUGUUUUAGAAAACCUGUGAAUACCGUUCAAGGUCAUUUGUGCCAACACAAUCCAUCCUAUUCUAGAGAUAUUUCCUCGAUCUGUUUAUUUGGCAAAGACAUAACAAUCAAAGCUUGUGAUUGGAUUUAGGAUUACGGUUUAAUAUGAGUACAAUGCAUAUGGAGAUCAUGUAGUAUUCAAUUGUGCAGGGCCAGUUUCAUAAAAUUGUUAAUAAAGUUAUGCAUAAGUUCAUUAAAAACUGGAAUAUGGUGUGCAAUAUUUGACCAAAGUUUUGCUGUAUAAUUACAUCUAAACUUGGGCAAAUAUUUUUCUUGUACGGUUUGUUCACAGUAAGAAUGUCUUCAUCUGCAUUACUUAAGCAAUGCAUUUAAAAAUGAAUGAGAGCUUUAUUUGUAACUUUUGAACACCUUUAUGAAAUUGCUUUUGUGUACAUUUCUUUAAGAGUAUGCAAAAUUGCAAUUGCAAUGAAACUUGUCUAUAUAGACCAUGCAAGGGAAACAAGAACAAGUUUGACAGUAAUUUUUUUAGAACUGAAGAUGGAAUAAUGUCCAACAAUGUUGAAACCAUAAAAGUGAUUUCAAAAUGGCAGUAGCACUGAGCAAAUGUCAUUUAUAUGAUAAAAUGAUACAUAUCAUAAAUGCUAUUAAAGCAAAAACUGACUUAUCUCACAGGAUGUCAUUUUCUCUGGUUAUGUACCAUAUGGAUUUGAUAUUCUGAUGUCAGUUGCUGGUUUCAUUCUCCUUUAAUGUGCAAUAAGAUUUUGCUUCAUGUGUUGUUAACUUGUUAAUUUUACUGUGUUGGGAGAUAUUAUUUCAAACAUAAGUGUCUUUAUAAAUGAGUCUGACACAUGUAAUCAUGUUUAAAAUCUAUAAAAAAAAAUUUUGAGUAAAACAUUUGGUCAACUUUUGGGAUAAAAGGGAGCAUGCAUAUUUGUAGGGUAAAAUUUUGUCCCAUAAUGUGUAAAAUAUAUUUCUAUUGGAGUAUCGGCAAUUCUUAAGCAACAUCAGGAAGAGAUUGCCGAGCGUUAAGUUUCAUUUUACCCAAUAAACAUGCAUUUUAUCCUUUUAUCUAAUAUUGAUUGAUUUUUUUAAAAGUUUCAUUAGGUUCAAAGAAAAGUGAAGUGAAAAAGGUAAAAAAAAAAUUAGAAAAUUAGAGCUUGGUCUAUGAGCAUAUUUUUAAAAAAUAUAUAAGCAUUUUUAUUCUUUCAAAGGAUUUUAAAAUGAAUAGAAAGACAUGAAGGUCUUGUCAUACAUUUUCCUUUUUGAGCGAGACUUUUUGAUAUCUGCACAAAGUAUGUGUUGGGUGUUUAGCAUAAUGGCAUAAUGAGCUUUGCAUGUUUAAAUUAUUCUUCUUGUGAGAGAGAUAUGUCUUAUUUGAGGCCAUUUUGAAUGCUGUGUGUGUGUUUGAGGUCACAAGUGUGAAGUUUGAAUGAAAAGUGUUAUAUUAUAUUUUCAUAGCUUUCAAUUUGAAUAUUGAAUGGUGUAGGGUUUUGCUUCCCGAGAAAGUAGUCCUUGGAUUAAACUAAGAUUGGUAUAAUCUAAUAGUCUUGCUUUUAAUAGAAGUUAUACAUAUUUCAUUGAUUAUAAAACAAUUUGUUUAGGCACAAUGUAUCAGCAGUCCAUAUAUUAUGUAUGUCCUUUCUGGAAUGUAUGGUUCUUGUGGGGCCCCGGACUUUCGAAAGACUCAAAUCAAAUUUUAAAUUGCUAUUUAUCUUACUUUAUUCAAGUAAGAUAAUUGGCAAACUUUAUUCAUGUCAUUUCCUUGUUUUUCUUGUUUUCUCUCCCUUCAAGUGAAAUGUUAUUAUAAUCAGUGUAGAUCUUGUGAUUUAGGGUAAAAAUUACAAAAAUUUCACAUCAAUUAUCUUUUAAAUCAGUUGUUAUAUUCUUUGGAUCAAGUUCUCCAAAAUUUACAAUGUAAAUAUAGUUAACUUUGUCCCCGUUUAUCCACAUUAGUUUAAACAUCUUUGUUUGUAUGAUGAAUAUCAAUCCAUACGUAAAGAAAUUUGUUUAAAUCAAAAUGUUUUUCUUGUAUUUAGUUGAGUUUUUUUUUGCCUUUACACAGUUCCACUAUUUAAGUCUUUAUCCAUUUUUUCUUGGUUACAGUACAACUUUCUAUUCUACAUUCCUUUAUGUUGUAUUAUUUUUGUAAAUUUAAAUGAUUUAGUAAAUUUUGAUAUAACACAUGUUUAUUUGCUUUGUGUUUUAAUAAUAAUGCAGUACUCCGAUGGAAGCAUACCAGCCUCAUGAUGGACAUAAAAAAUGAAACGCACUAGACAAAGAAAUAAAGGAAAUGCUUAAUCGUGAACUGAUAUUUUUGUGUGUUACUAUCUCUUUGGCAACUUUGGUUAUUGCACUCAAUUAAUUCUUAGAUUGGCCUGCAUUGGAUGAAUGAUUGUUCUAAAAUUUAGUUUAGUCAAUUAUUAAUUGUCACGCAUAUAUAUAUAAAUAGAAAUAUGUUUAGAUAUAUAUAAAACAGAAUAAGUAGACAUAUUGCAUUGUAAAAAUGUAGAAUAUAAUUUAAAACUUGGGUGUAUCUUCAUCAGUGUGCAUUCCAGUAAGUAACAACUUCGUAUCAAGCAUGUGUAAAUAAUGUGUACAUAAUGAAAAACUUUAUUCUUAUUGAAAAAAUGAACACUUAAUAAAUAUCAAUCGUUUAGAUCCACAA